ACACACUGAAUCUGGCUGUGGAAAGCUGGCUCAUCAGCACAUUUCAAACGCAAUCCAGUCUGUCAGAGUUGCCAAAAACUGUAACAAGGCGCAGCUUUCUCCCUCCUCUCAGCUGAGUCCUGUAGUGAAGUUACAUUUAUAUCAUGCACCUGUUAUGUGCUCCACCCUGACACCCCCCCCCGUCCCCCCGUCCUGAUGAAUUAGAUCAGAAAACCUCAGAUGUGCGUGUUUGCUUUUGUUUCAUUCUGACGUCUUCUUUUACCAGACCCAGUCACAGUAACACUCCUUCAAUGUGAACCCUUGAAUACCAGCUGUAACGCUUUUUGACGUUGUUUAAUUAACCUCCAAACCCUUUCUAACUUUCUUACGACACACCAGAGACGGAUGUUAAAGCAGUCUCUCAGCCUGAGUCUCAACAAAGCAGUCCUCUGCUGGACUCGGGGAGAGACAGCGCCCACAGCAGCAGCACUAAAGGAGAGCGUCUGAGCGCCAAGAUGAGGUCACUUCCUGGAUCCAACGAGCCGUACGAGGCCAGCAGCCCAAAAGAAAUAGAUGCGUCCUACGUGGACCCUCUGGGGCCGCAGAUGGAGAGACCGAAGACGGGAGCCAAGAGACGCGUGGAGGACGACGACUUCGCAGACGAGGAGCUGGGAGACGACCUGCUGCCGGAGUAACUCCUUCUGACUCCACUGUGUUGUCAGGACAUUUGGUUCUUUGUCACCUUUUAUGAAAGGACAGAGCACAAACUAGACCCCAAGGACCAAAGCAUUUUAUACUCUGUGAAAUGAAUAUUAUUAGAUAAAGAUGUGACUCUGCUUUUCCACUUCUGAGUUAAGAAGUGAGAUGUCUUUACCUCUUUCAGAUCGCUCACCUCUGCCUUAAAUCUGCUUGAUAAACAUCCUUUUCUAACGUCAAUAUUUAUACAUAUUCAUUUGGCAGAGGAAGGUCUGGCUUUAUGAAAUGAAUGGAAAGGAGUCUGGAAAUAUUUUUGACAUUUAGUUUUGGCUCUGUACUCCAACAGAAUGAACUUGAGAUGUAAGAAACAAUCCCAAUGCAUUGAAAGUGUUGACGUUUGACUUCAGUCUGACUUUGUUUACAUUGGUUUCUGACGAAGUGUUUGGAAAUGAUGCACCUUUUGGACAUGCUGUACUCCCAGGGGUAAACAAGGUCUUUAUUUCAAGUCUGCAUUUUAACCUCAAUGUUACCUUUUUUUAUUUUAUUUUGAACCCAGUGUUUGGGCACAGAGCCAAAACAAGGAGUAACAUAUCGCUGUCGAAAUAUUUUCAACUACAAUGUGUGUUUCCAAGUGUGUGAGCCUGGGAACCUUCUGGAAAAUCCAUCAACAACUUAUGUAAUCCAUCCAUGUGUGGUCCUGUUUGGUUUUAUACUUAUUCCAAAAAUGUUUAUGUAGUAUAAUAUUUAUUUGUAUUUGUUGUUAUAUAAUUUUAAAAAUAAAGUAUUUUGUCUAU